UACGUAGGGUGCAAGCGUUGUCCGGAAUUAUUGGGCGUAAAGAGCUUGUAGGCGGUUUGUCGCGUCUGCUGUGAAAUUUCGGGGCUCAACCCCGAACUUGCAGUGGGUACGGGCAGACUAGAGUGUGGUAGGGGAGACUGGAAUUCCUGGUGUAGCGGUGAAAUGCGCAGAUAUCAGGAGGAACACCCGAGUGGCAAGGCAGGCUCUGGCGACUACUGCGUGAGAAGCGAAGAACUGGGG
rnacentral:rRNA from 1 species